AGUUGAAUGGCCGAGUUUAAUAGGCGGUAAAUUGUAAAUUUAUGGACGAGUUUUACUCUUCAACUA
rnacentral:tRNA from 1 species